rnacentral:rRNA from 1 species
UACAGGGGGGGGCAAGCGUUGUUCGGAAUUACUGGGCGUAAAGGGCUCGUAGGCGGCCAACUAAGUCCGACGUGAAAUCCCAAAGCUUAACUUUGGAACUGCGUCGGAUACUGGAUGGCUUGAAUUCGGGAGAGGGAUGCAGAAUUCCAGGUGUAGCGGUGAAAUGCGUAGAUAUCUGGAGGAACACCGGUGGCGAAGGCGGCAUCCUGGACCGGCAUUGACGCUGAGGCGCGAAAGCCAGGGGAGCAAACGGG